rnacentral:rRNA from 1 species
UACGUAGGGUCCGAGCGUUGUCCGGAAUUCCUGGGCGUAAAGAGCUCGUAGGUGGUUUGUCGCGUUGUUCGUGAAAACUCACAGCUUAACUGUGGGCGUGCGGGCGAUACGGGCAGACUGGAGUACUGCAGGGGAGACUGGAAUUCCUGGUGUAGCGGUGGAAUGCGCAGAUAUCAGGAGGAACACCGGUGGCGAAGGCGGGUCUCUAGGCAGUAACUGACGCUGAGGAGCGAAAGCGUGGGGAGCGAACAGG